rnacentral:rRNA from 1 species
GGGUUGUGAGGUUAAGCGACUAAGCGUACACGGUGGAUGCCCUGGCAGUCAGAGGCGAUGAAGGGCGUGCUAAUCUGCGAUAAGCGCCGGUAAGGUGAUAUGAACCGUUAUAACCGGCGAUACCCGAAUGGGGAAACCCAGUGUGAUUCGUCACACUAUCAUUAACUGAAUCCAUAGGUUAAUGAGGCGAACCGGGGGAACUGAAACAUCUAAGUACCCCGAGGAAAAGAAAUCAACCGAGAUUCCCCCAGUAGCGGCGAGCGAACGGGGAGGAGCCCAGAGCCUGAAUCAGCAUGUGUGUUAGUGGAAGCGUCUGGAAAGGUGCGCGAUACAGGGUGACAGCCCCGUACACAAAAGCGCAUGUGCUGUGAGCUCGAUGAGUAGGGCGGGACACGUGGUAUCCUGUCUGAAUAUGGGGGGACCAUCCUCCAAGGCUAAAUACUCCUGACUGACCGAUAGUGAACCAGUACCGUGAGGGAAAGGCGAAAAGAACCCCGGCGAGGGGAGUGAAAAAGAACCUGAAACCGUGUACGUACAAGCAGUGGGAGCACAGGUUUACCUGUGUGACUGCGUACCUUUUGUAUAAUGGGUCAGCGACUUAUAUUCUGUAGCAAGGUUAACCGUAUAGGGGAGCCGGAGGGAAACCGAGUCUUAAUUGGGCGUUAAGUUGCAGGGUAUAGACCCGAAACCCGGUGAUCUAGCCAUGGGCAGGUUGAAGGUUGGGUAACACUAACUGGAGGACCGAACCGACUAAUGUUGAAAAAUUAGCGGAUGACCUGUGGCUGGGGGUGAAAGGCCAAUCAAACCGGGAGAUAGCUGGUUCUCCCCGAAAGCUAUUUAGGUAGCGCCUCGUGAAUUCAUCUCCGGGGGUAGAGCACUGUUUCGGCUAGGGGGCCAUCCCGGCUUACCAACCCGAUGCAAACUGCGAAUACCGGAGAAUGUUAUCACGGGAGACACACGGCGGGUGCUAACGUCCGUCGUGAAGAGGGAAACAACCCAGACCGCCAGCUAAGGUCCCAAAGUCAUGGUUAAGUGGGAAACGAUGUGGGAAGGCCCAGACAGCCAGGAUGUUGGCUUAGAAGCAGCCAUCAUUUAAAGAAAGCGUAAUAGCUCACUGGUCGAGUCGGCCUGCGCGGAAGAUGUAACGGGGCUAAACCAUGCACCGAAGCUGCGGCAGCGAACGUAUCACCCAAGACAACUUUACGGAGUUGACGAUUGACGGAGCGAAGCGACGUCAAAGCGUUCAUUAAAGUCGAGUUGGCUUAGGGAUACGUUCGUUGGGUAGGGGAGCGUUCUGUAAGCCUGUGAAGGUGUGUCGUGAGGCAUGCUGGAGGUAUCAGAAGUGCGAAUGCUGACAUAAGUAACGAUAAAGCGGGUGAAAA